AUACAUAUCUGGCAGGGGAGAUACCAUGUCCAUGAAGGUGGAUUUUUCAGGGUGAGGCUUAUCCAUUGCACUCCGCGUUUGUUGACCCCUGUGAUUUCCCAAAAUGUGGGAAACUCGACUGCAUAAUUUGUGGUAGUGAGGGACUGCUUUUGCACUCUCCCCUA